rnacentral:rRNA from 1 species
CAAUAGCGUAUAUUAACGUUGUUGCAGUUAAAAAGCUCGUAGUUGGAUUUCUGGAGGGAGCGUCGGCCCGUAUUUACGAGUGCGUGACGUCUCUGUCCAUCCUUGCGGGAAGGCACGGCAUUGAUUUGUUGUGUCGGAUCGCAUCAUUUACUGUGAAAAAAUUAGAGUGUUCAAAGCAGGCUUUCGCUUGAAUACAUUAGCAUGGAAUAAUAAGAUAGGACUUUGGUGCUAUUUUGUUGGUUGAGCCUAAAGUAAUGAUUAAUAGGGAUAGUUGGGGGCACCUGUAUUGCGUUGUCAGAGGUGAAAUUCUUGGAUUUACGCAAGACAAACAGCUGCGAANGNGUCUGGNAAGGAUGUUUNCAUUA